UGCAAGUAAGCAACACCCUUCUAAUAAUUAAUCAAGUAACGGCUCGAUUCCACUGACGUCCCCCCUUUCUCCCUCUCCAUGGCGUUCCCAAUAUACUGAUCUUCCCACCAUUUCAGAAGCCUAACCGGAAAAGGAAAAAAAAAAAAAAAAAAAAAAAAAAAAAGAGGAAAAAAAGGCCAGUUGUUAGGAUGAACAAUCAAAUCAAAUUCACAAUUCUCUCGGCGAAUUACGAGCGAGGGAUUUUACUUUCGUGAAUCGAAUUCAGAAUGACGGCGGCUCAUCUUCUGGGUAAAUCAUUACGUGCUGUUGAUCUUCGAUUGCCGAUGAAUUCGUUAAUAAAAAGAGAAAAUUGUUCGAUUGGACGAAGCUGGUACAAAGCAUGGUUCGUAUGGCGACUUCUUCCAUCACUAUCCACAGAUUGAAGUUUACAUUUGCUCGUUUGGAGUCUCAGUAUUAGGCCGUCCGGUUAUCAAUAUUGGACUACAUUGGGUUAAGCAGUACUGAUUAACUAAUUAUUUAGUUAAUAAGAUUUCCGGUUCCUUAGAUUAGAUCUUAUACUACAUUAACAUAUUCUUGUACUAUAUAUGUGAUUUCUUUAUAAAACCUCUUCCUUAACAAAAUUACGAUAUAGUUUUAAGGAUAAAAUGGUCUUUCCGCUUUUCUUUUUAA